rnacentral:rRNA from 1 species
GACAGAGGUGCCGAGCGUUAGGCGGAAUCACUGGGCUUAAGGCGUGUGUAGGCGGGCGAUCAAGUACCUUGUGAAAUCCCACGGCUCAACCGUGGAACCGCUGGGUAUACUGGUUGUCUUGAGCCGGCUAGGGGCGAGCGGAACAGACGGUGGAGCGGUGAAAUGCGUAGAUAUCGUCUGGAACGCCGAAGGUGAAAACAGCUCGCUGGGGCCGCGCUGACGCUGAGACACGAAAGCCAGGGGAGCGAACGGG